rnacentral:lncRNA from 1 species
UCCCAAGUGUGUCCGUGAGCCCUAUUUCCAUCUGUCCUUCUACCUGGGCCACCCCUGGCCUAGUCCAACUACCAACUCUGUCCAGAGCUCUGUGGAUGGGGCUGACUAGAGCCCGGCACUGGCAGGAGCCAUCUUCAGUCAGGUGCUUCUGGCUCAAGCCUCCUCGGCCCCACUUCCCCUCAGCGGGCUCUGUAGGAGCUACAGGUGAUGUUCGCAGCAUCUGUCUUACUGUUUAAACAGAAUGCCCUCAUUUUUCUUGUCUUGAGAAGCUGCGGGAUGCCUUUACCCUUGCAACCUGCAGGAUCUCACAGAUUCAUUUUUCAUUUCUUUGCCACGGAAUAAACCUCGAAUGGCCGGUUGGCUUUUUAACCCUCUUAGACAUCUUUUAGUCAUCGGCUGACCACACACAGAAAAGGUCCGUUUUGUCAUUUGUUCCACUCUGUGUGCCUUGAGAACCACUCCUGUGAUACGACUCUGGUGACAGUCCUGUUGUUUUGUUUUGUUUUUUGCAUCUAUUAAAUCUCUGCAAGUCGGUUUUCUAUGAGGC